AGUGAACGCUGGCGGUAGGCCUAACACAUGCAAGUCGAACGGCAGCACAGUAAGAGCUUGCUCUUACGGGUGGCGAGUGGCGGACGGGUGAGGAAUACAUCGGAAUCUACUUUUUCGUGGGGGAUAACGUAGGGAAACUUACGCUAAUACCUCAUACGACCUACGGGUGAAAGCAGUGGAUCUUCGGACCUUUCGCGAUUGAAUGAGCCGAUGUCGGAUUAGCUAGUUGGCGGGGUAAAGGCCCACCAAGGCGACGAUCCGUAGCUGGUCUGAGAGGAUGAUCAGCCACACUGGAACUGAGACACGGUCCAGACGACUACGGGAGGCAGCAGUGGGGAAUAUUGGACAAUGGGCGCAAGCCUGAUCCAGCAAUACCGCGUGGGUGAAGAAGGCCUUCGGGUUGUAAAGCCCUUUUGUUGGGAAAGAAAAGCAGCAGGUUAAUACCCCGCUGUUCUGACGGUACCCAAAGAAUAAGCACCGGCUAACUUCGUG
rnacentral:rRNA from 1 species